AAUAGUGUAAAAUCACCAAGCAACAUCAGGUUUAAGGCACGGCAACUCACAACUAUUUAUGAGCGGACGUUUUCGAGCGAGUAUUCUUUGCUACCAGAAACGCGCUGCCACGUUUCUACCGCUUCAUGUCUGUUAUAUAACACAGUUUUUUCAGAGGCGAACUAAUUACGUUCAUCAAGUUAAGCAUAGCACUUGCCGAGGAAAAGAACAGUAGUUGCCGACAAAAGCCAUAACGCGCCGGCGUCACGAAUGCGAAUGUAAUCAUGAGGAUAUCAUGCCACAGACACUCUCGCCUAUCAUAAAUUAAUAAUUAUCAUAUUACGUUAAAUGUUUCCAUGCUUAUUGGCGCAGG
rnacentral:lncRNA from 1 species